ACCCAUACAUUGCCUGACGGCUAGGAGUGCGGUGCCCAAGAGAAGAAGACAGCAGCAGCAGCAGUAGUCCGCCAGGAGGGGCAAGCAGUAUUAAAGAAGAAGAGCAGCACCACUGUAAGCCAAUAGUGUUAUAGCAUCAUGGUCAGAUGAUGAGCAGGCCCGCCCCUCUGGGGUCAAAGGGCACGCACAGUACACAAACAAACACAGACACAAAACUGUAGACAUUGGUCCUUAACCACCAUCUAGGAUCAGAUUACUCUACCCCCAUCAUAACCUUAAAGGGGUGAAAUACUAUCUGAUCCUGUAUCAGUGGUUAGGGGCAACUUCUGACUUUGGAUAGACAAAAACAGCACAUAACACAGGAGCAGCCCACCUACACAGGUGCAACACACACGGGCCAAAGGAACACAUUUACCAUGCAUGACAAGACUGGUUCACCAUAAACUAGUGUAGUAGUGGAUUAGUGCAGGUGUUUGGAGCAAACAGAUACACAAAUACAAAUACAAACAUGCAUAUCCACCUGUCUAGUUUGAUAUACCUCAGUGUUCCACAAGGUUAAACCCCUUUCUAACAGACUCAGUCUAGUUUGAUAUACCUCAGUGUUCCACACGGUUAAACCCCUUUCUAACAGACUCAGUCUAGUUUGAUAUACCUCAGUGUUCCACACGGUUAAACCCCUUUCUAACAGACUCAGUCUAGUUUGAUAUACCUCAGUGUUCCACACGGUUAAACCCCUUUCUAACAGACUCAGUCUAGUUUGAUAUACCUCAGUGUUCCACAAGGUUAAACCCCUUUCUAACAGACUCAGUCUAGUUUGAUAUACCUCAGUGUUCCACACGGUUAAACCCCUUUCUAACAGACUCAGUCUAGUUUGAUAUACCUCAGUGUUCCACAAGGUUAAACCCCUUUCUAACAGACUCAGUCUAGUUUGAUAUACCUCAGUGUUCCACAAGGUUAAACCCCUUUCUAACAGACUCAGUCUAGUUUGAUAUACCUCAGUGUUCCACACGGUUAAACCCCUUUCUAACAGACUCAGUCUAGUUUGAUAUACCUCAGUGUUCCACACGGUUAAACCCCUUUCUAACAGACUCAGUCUAGUUUGAUAUACCUCAGUGUUCCACAAGGUUAAACCCCUUUCUAACAGACUCAGUCUAGUUUGAUAUACCUCAGUGUUCCACACGGUUAAACCCCUUUCUAACAGACUCAGUCUAGUUUGAUAUACCUCAGUGUUCCACACGGUUAAACCCCUUUCUAACAGACUCAGUCUAGUUUGAUAUACCUCAGUGUUCCACACGGUUAAACCCCUUUCUAACAGACUCAGUCUAGUUUGAUAUACCUCAGUGUUCCACACGGUUAAACCCCUUUCUAACAGACUCAGUCUAGUUUGAUAUACCUCAGUGUUCCACAAGGUUAAACCCCUUUCUAACAGACUCAGUCUAGUUUGAUAUACCUCAGUGUUCCACAAGGUUAAACCCCUUUCUAACAGACUCAGUCUAGUUUGAUAUACCUCAGUGUUCCACAAGGUUAAACCCCUUUCUAACAGACUCAGUCUAGUUUGAUAUACCUCAGUGUUCCACAAGGUUAAACCCCUUUCUAACAGACUCAGUCUAGUUUGAUAUACCUCAGUGUUCCACACGGUUAAACCCCUUUCUAACAGACUCAGUCUAGUUUGAUAUACCUCAGUGUUCCACACGGUUAAACCCCUUUCUAACAGACUCAGUCUAGUUUGAUAUACCUCAGUG